rnacentral:rRNA from 1 species
UACGUAGGGUCCGAGCGUUGUCCGGAAUUAUUGGGCGUAAAGCGCGUGUAGGCGGAUGAGCAAGUCUGCUGUGAAAGCUCCUGGCUUAACCGGGAGUGGUCGGUGGAAACUGCUCGUCUGGAGGACGGUAGAGGUAGGUAGAAUUCCCGGUGUAGUGGUGAAAUGCGUAGAUAUCGGGAGGAACACCAGUGGCGAAGGCGACUACCUGGCCUGUUUCUUGACGCUGAGGCGCGAAAGCUAGGGGAGCAAACGGGG